UACGAAGGGUGCAAACGUUGCUCGGAAUCAUUGGGCGUAAAGCGCACGUAGGCGGCUUGCCAAGUCGGACGUGAAAUCCCUCAGCUCAACUGAGGACGUGCAUCCGAAACUGGCGAGCUUGAGUACUGAAGAGGAUCGCGGAAUUCCUGGUGUAGCGGUGAAAUGCGCAGAUAUCAGGAAGAACACCCGUGGCUAAGGCGGCGCUCUAGUACGGUACUGACGCUGAGACGCGAAAGCGUGGGGAGCGAACAGG
rnacentral:rRNA from 1 species